rnacentral:rRNA from 2 species
UGGGGAAUAUUGCGCAAUGGGGGGAACCCUGACGCAGCAACGCCGCGUGGAGGAAGAAGGUCUUCGGAUUGUAAACUCCUGUCUUCUGGGACGAAUAAUGACGGUACCAGAGGAGGAAGCCACGGCUAACUACGUGCCAGCAGCCGCGGUAAUACGUAGGUGGCGAGCGUUGUCCGGAAUUACUGGGCGUAAAGGGCGCGUAGGCGGCUUUUUAAGUUAGAUGUGAAAACCCGGGGCUUAACUCCGGGCGUGCAUUUAAAACUGGAGAGCUUGAGUGCAGGAGAGGUAAGUGGAAUUCCUAGUGUAGCGGUGAAAUGCGUAGAUAUUAGGAGGAACACCAGUGGCGAAGGCGACUUACUGGACUGUAACUGACGCUGAGGCGCGAAAGCGUGGGGAGCAAACAGG